AUGGCCUACCAAGGCGACGACGGGUAGCCGGCCUGAGAGGGCGACCGGCCACACUGGGACUGAGACACGGCCCAGACUCCUACGGGAGGCAGCAGUGGGGAAUAUUGCACAAUGGGCGAAAGCCUGAUGCAGCGACGCCGCGUGAGGGAUGAAGGCCUUCGGGUUGUAAACCUCUUUCAGCAGGGAAGAAGCGCAAGUGACGGUACCUGCAGAAGAAGCGCCGGCUAACUACGUGCCAGCAGCCGCGGUAAUACGUAGGGCGCAAGCGUUGUCCGGAAUUAUUGGGCGUAAAGAGCUCGUAGGCGGUUUGUCGCGUCUGGUGUGAAAACUCAAGGCUCAACCUUGAGCUUGCAUCGGGUACGGGCAGACUAGAGUGCGGUAGGGGUGACUGGAAUUCCUGGUGUAGCGGUGGAAUGCGCAGAUAUCAGGAGGAACACCGAUGGCGAAGGCAGGUCACUGGGCCGCAACUGACGCUGAGGAGCGAAAGCAUGGGGAGCGAACAGGAUUAGAUACCCUGGUAGUCCAUGCCGUAAACGUUGGGCACUAGGUGUGGGGCUCAUUCCACGAGUUCCGUGCCGCAGCAAACGCAUUAAGUGCCCCGCCUGGGGAGUACGGCCGCAAGGCUAAAACUCAAAGGAAUUGACGGGGGCCCGCACAAGCGGCGGAGCAUGCGGAUUAAUUCGAUGCAACGCGAAGAACCUUACCAAGGCUUGACAUACACCGGAAACUUCCAGAGAUGGUUGCCCCGCAAGGUCGGUGUACAGGUGGUGCAUGGUUGUCGUCAGCUCGUGUCGUGAGAUGUUGGGUUAAGUCCCGCAACGAGCGCAACCCUCGUCUUAUGUUGCCAGCACGUCAUGGUGGGGACUCAUAAGAGACUGCCGGGGUCAACUCGGAGGAAGGUGGGGAUGACGUCAAAUCAUCAUGCCCCUUAUGUCUUGGGCUUCACGCAUGCUACAAUGGCCGGUACAAAGGGCUGCGAUACCGCGAGGUGGAGCGAAUCCCAAAAAGCCGGUCUCAGUUCGGAUUGGGGUCUGCAACUCGACCCCAUGAAGUCGGAGUCGCUAGUAAUCGCAGAUCAGCAACGCUGCGGUGAAUACGUUCCCGGGCCUUGUACACACCGCCCGUCAAGUCACGAAAGUCGGUAACACCCGAAGCCGGUGGCCCAACCCUUGUGGAGGGAGCUGUCGAAGGUGGGACUGGCGAUUGGGACUAAGUCGUAACAAGGUAGCCGUACCGGAAGGUGCGGCUGGAUCACCUCCUUUCUAAGGA
rnacentral:rRNA from 1 species